rnacentral:lncRNA from 1 species
UCUUUUAGCCUCUGGAGGAAACUACUCAGAGGAUGUUCAGUCAUUUGACCAGCCUAAUAAUGGCUUUUGUGGAAACAUCUUGGCAGAGCUAGAGUCAACAGACCUCUGUAAUGAUGGAGGGCACCAUACUGGACAAGUAAGGAAUGGUAUGUCCAUUGUCCCUGUGUCAAGAGGCUUUUGAUACAUUUGUGAUUAUUUAAUUAGCUAUCACUCAAUAGUUGCUGUGCCUUUGCUAUCGCGCCAUGAGAUACAGUACUGUGACUAUAAAAAAAGCCUGAAAUAUUUGAACUUCUAGCUCCUGCCACUCUAUAUAAACUUUAAAACAUAUAAAAAGUCUUGAUAAAUUGUAUCAAUCACCACCCCCAGGGCUAUAAAGGUGAGUUAACUAACAAAUUCUCAUCACAUUUCUUUAACACCAGACAUGCCAACCAAUCUCGAAUGAUGCCA